ensembl:lncRNA
GUUAAAUCAGGUUGAUCUGAAGACAGCCACAUCAACUCUGACACUGGAGGUCGAAGGAUAGAGUGUGAUGCAGGAGAGUGAUGAUCUAGAGACAGCUGGGACAUCUCAAUCCCAGGAGACUGAACGAGUGGCAAAGGUAAAUGCUUCCAGAUAACAGUGUGUGUGUGUGUACAUGUCUGUUUGUGCACACAGACAGUAGUUCGUAAACAGACAUUGCGUGAACAGUGCCUAUGGCGAAUUUGAUUGAAUUCCAGCCUAAGUCUGCUUUCUGUCAUCCCCAUCAGGCUGCAGUGGUGACCUUCACUACCAUGACCCGCAAGGCUGCAGCCUCCCAGACCAGCCUCACCCUCAGCAGGGGAAAGAGAAGCUACCCAGACCUACACGCCUUUGUGCAGGACAUAAAGGAUGGCCAUUGGAAUCUGCUGAGUGAGAAUAUGCGUGCCGGGAUGAGCAGAGAUGAGUUUAGUGCUAGGUGCAUAUGGAUAUUACAAAUUGGGUGAUGGAGUCUACAUCCACUGUGGUCGUUCCUGCCAUUGACCUCACUAUGCAGAUCGAGCUCUCUGAUUCGUCAAGCUCUUCUGGAUCAGGAAGUAAUGAGACAAGAGAAGUGACCUCUCUUGGCCGCAGCGUCAGAUUCAGCUUUUGUGGUGGACCCAGUAGACGCACCAGUUCUGGAACUGCUUGAAGCACACAAACUCCCACGCCUUUCCC